AGUUUCAUAGAUGUGCCUUAGUCCGCUCAGGCUGCUCUAACAAAAUACCACAGACUGGCUGGCCUAAACAGCAGAUACUUAUGCCUCGCAGUUCUGGAUGCUGGGAAGUCCAGGAUCAAGGUGCUGACAGAUUGGUUCUUGCCGAGGGUUCACCUCCCAGCAUGCAUAUGGCCACUACCUCCCCGUGUACAACCUAUUUGUGCACAGCAGGGAGAGAGAGACUGAGAAGUUCCAUUUGGGCGGAAGCUGUGCUGUUCUGGAAGAGACGCCAGGCCUUCCCAGCCUCCGGUCUGAGGCUGUCUUCCAGGAUCUGCUGUCAAGGCCUAUUCCUCAGGGACCAGCUGUUGGCAAAAGGAGCCCCCAGGAGGGGGAAUGAGAGUGGCAAUCCGAAUGCUGAAGGCCAGCUCUGUGCAUGCCCUGGGCGGGGCACACACGUCAUCUUCUCCAACCCUCACAGGAAUCCUGCAAGGCUAAGACUGUCACCAUCCACUCUACAGAUGAAGAAAAGGAGGUGCAGAUGGGUGAAGUGACUUGUACAAGGUCACAAAGUCCCUGAAUGGCCAAACUAGGGUUCUAGCCCAGGCUCCUUCCUACAGCAAAUUUCCAGAAGACCAAGAUGGUAUGUUUCGGUUUUAGGAACUGCAUGAAUGGUGAGGGCCCAUGGGCUGCCCUCGGGUUUUAGAGACCGAAGUUGCCUUUGUGGCCAACUCACUCUCCCAUCUUGACAAGACAGCAGACUAUAUGUUUCCAAAAUGCGGCUCAUCAUCUCAGCUUCAGGUCAUCUGUGCCAGCCCUGUGCUGCCACAGCCACUGCUCUUCCCCAGGAGCCCUUCUCCAUCCUGCUGCUGGAGACACACAUGCGUGCAAGCGGCAGGCAACCAGAACGACAGGGAGCGCAGAAGCUGGCGGCACUGAAGCAGGCCUGACCCAGCUCAGGUCUGCCUGGACGGGGCGGUGCCGCAACAGAAAGGGCAAAAGGCUUGGAAUUUACAGGAAGCUGGGAGCAUCUUUGAUCGCAUGGGGCAGCUUUAAAUGCAGCCACAACCUGGGCGUUCAAAGCGAAGUGAGGAGGGCCUGUAGAGAGGAAAUAUCUGAAAUUGUGUGGAAACGAUUUAUAAAGAAAAGGGCAGUUCCCGACAUUCAUAUGUCCCUGAGUCACUAACCCCCAAAUAACUCCUGGCUCCGCUGCGCUUUGCUGCUUCUGAAAAUGACAUUACUUCAGCCUGUCCCAGCAAGGCCUCCAUUUUAUGUACAUUCCUGUCUGAACACUUGAGAAGGGCUCACAGAGUGGGCCAACAGCUUUGUGGCUUUUUAAGCACUUUUAAGUUGCACAUGAAAAGGAGCAAAUAAAGGAAGGUAGAAAUAUCUUAA